ensembl:lncRNA
CAAGAACCAAAUUCAUACUGGCGUUUAGGAUUCAGGUUUGGAGGUAAACAUGAUAACCGUAGUAACAGCUUCAGCUUUUCACACUCAGAGCCAUGUGCUUUGAGGCUCAUGUUUGCUCAGAUGAUCUUCAACAAGAGGGUUAACAAUGAUGCCAUUUUUAUCUUCCAAGUAGAUUGUAUUAUUGUGUAUCUGCAUCUAUAUGCUCAGGAAAAGAGAGCCCUGCAUCACGGCAGACUUGAGCUAAAUGACGAUUGGAGAUGCAAACUCCAGUUAAAACAAUAGGUGCAAAAGUCAGCCUCUUGGCCUAUAUCUGGACACAGUACUCCAGAGAUGAGAGUCUGGCUGGUCUACUACAUACAAAGGACCUGAAUGACAUCUGAGUUACACUGCAGAAUUUGCUCUAAAAUUGCAUCGCUUUGUGAAUGAUGAAGUUGGGCGAAACCAGUUAUUUUAGAGAUGCAGAUUCCACAAGAUACCCA